rnacentral:rRNA from 1 species
GACGAACGCUUUCUUCGUGCUUAACACAUGCAAGUCGAACGGAAAGGCCCUGCUUUUGUGGGGUGCUCGAGUGGCGAACGUGUGAGUAACACGUGAGUAACCUGCCCUUGACUUUGGGAUAACUUCAGGAAACUGGGGCUAAUACCGGAUAGGAGCUCCUGCUGCAUGGUGGGGGUUGGAAAGUUUCGGCGGUUGGGGAUGGACUCGCGGCUUAUCAGCUUGUUGGUGGGGUCGUGGCUUACCAAGGCUUUGACGGGUAGCCGGCCUGAGAGGGUGACCGGCCACAUUGGGACUGAGAUACGGCCCAGACUCCUACGGGAGGCAGCAGUGGGGAAUAUUGCACAAUGGGCGGAAGCCUGAUGCAGCAACGCCGCGUGCGGGAUGACGGCCUUCGGGUUGUAAACCGCUUUCGCCUGUGACGAAGCGUGAGUGACGGUAAUGGGUAAAGAAGCACCGGCUAACUACGUG